rnacentral:rRNA from 1 species
UCCAACAAGCCUUUUUUUUUUUCAACUUUUGACCUCGGAUCAGGUAGGGAUACCC